rnacentral:rRNA from 1 species
AUUGAACGCUAGCGGGAUGCUUAACACAUGCAAGUCGAACGAGUGGCGGACGGGUGAGUAAUAUAUCGGAAGUGCCCAGUAGCGGGGGAUAACUACUGGAAACGGUAGCUAAUACCGCAUACUAUCGGAUAACCCAUAUGGGAUUAGCUAGUAGGUGUGGUAACGGCUCACCUAGGCGACGAUCCCUAGCGGGUCUGAGAGGAUGAUCAGCCACACUGGGACUGAGACACGGCCCCGACUCCUACGGAGGCAGCAGUGGGGAAUAUUGCGCAAUGGGCGCAAGCCUGAUGUAGCCAUGCCGCGUGUAUGAAGAAGGCCCUAGGGUUGUAAAGUACUUUCAGUCGGGAGGCGUUACCGACAGAAGAAGCACCGGCUAACUCCGUGCCAGCCGCCGCGGUAAUAC